GGCCGCGCCGGCUCCUUCCCCGCGAGGGCGGCGGCGGAGCGGGGAGAGGCCGCGGCUUUGCCCCAGAACUCACGGCGCAGUGCUGGGGACGGCGCUUUAGAAGCCGGAUUUGUGAAUAGGGCCGGAUAAGUGGACUCGCAGCCCCGCGCAUGUCGAGAUUGCAGAUGUUCGCAAACAUUACGCGUCCACAGCCUUGCCCGUGUUAAACAUCUACUGAAUGCACAGGACAGGCACCACUUUCUUCCUGAAGCUUUUGGAUUGGAAUAUGGGUAUCUUCAAUGUAUGGAAUCUAGUUCUGUUACUCAUUCUGUCUAUUAUUUUCAAUUAAUUCUUGUCCUAAGCAAUGAGGCUUUUGCUGUGGCAGAAAGAUAUUUGCUCUGAAGGACAGAUGGCAGCAGCCCUUUUAUCCCCACCUUUGCAAUGAAUCUAGAUCUGCUGCAGAAUGUUUCAAGAGUAUGCAAAAAAUGCUACCAGUAGCAGCUUGAGAGAAGCUUACUCUGUACUCAUGUACAGCAGCUUUAUAGGGCUCUGGAAACUGCAAAACCUGCUCUUUUAUAGAGACCUGGUGACCCUCAGCCAAAUUCUGCAGGACUAGUAUCAAUGUCCUUCUUGUUAGUGCGUCCAGCUUCAGGAUCAAAUGUGGUAACUGCUGAAAGACGUCUAGCCUCAACCAAAAAAAACUCUGCAGAGAAAGUGCAUCAGUUCACUGCGCAGCUGCAUGGACAUGGAUGCCAGCUCAGGAGAGAAGGAGAAACAUAACACCACUCUGUCUCUAGAUGAGAAAUAUGGAUGGACAUUCACUGAUGUAUGCUUGUCACGGUGCAUCUUGGUCACUGCCUCCGACCAGAGGUUAUGCCAAACCCCCAAAACUCUCCAGCUUCCUUUGUGGCUGGUAGGGAGUGUGUGCAAACCUGGCCUCAGCAGGUGAGCCUGUGGGCUCUGGC